rnacentral:rRNA from 1 species
UACGGGGGGAGCAAGCGUUGUUCGGAUUUACUGGGCGUAAAGGGCGCGUAGGCGGCCAGCACAAGUCAGUUGUGAAAUCUCCGAGCUUAACUCGGAAAGGUCAACUGAUACUGUGCGGCUAGAGGCUGGUAGGGGCAAGCGGAAUUCCUGGUGUAGCGGUGAAAUGCGUAGAUAUCUGGAGGAACACCGGUGGCGAAGGCGGCAUCCUGGACCAACACUGACGCUGAGGAGCGAAAGCCAGGGGAGCGAACGGG